rnacentral:rRNA from 1 species
CUUCGGGCUCGACCUCCACCCUUUGUGAACACAACUUGUUGCUUCGGGGGCGACCCUGCCGUUUCGACGGCGAGCGCCCCCGGAGGCCUUCAAACACUGCAUCUUUGCGUCGGAGUUUAAGUAAAUUAAACAAAACUUUCAACAACGGAUCUCUUGGUUCUGGCAUCGAUGAAGAACGCAGCGAAAUGCGAUAAGUAAUGUGAAUUGCAGAAUUCAGUGAAUCAUCGAAUCUUUGAACGCACAUUGCGCCCCUUGGUAUUCCGAGGGGCAUGCCUGUUCGAGCGUCAUUUCACCACUCAAGCCUCGCUUGGUAUUGGGCGCCGCGGUGUUCCGCGCGCCUCAAAGUCUCCGGCUGAGCUGUCCGUCUCUAAGCGUUGUGAUUUCAUUAAUCGCUUCGGAGCGCGGGCGGUCGCGGCCGUUAAAUCUUUCACAAGGUUGACCUCGGAUCAGGUAGGGAUACCCGCUGAACUUAAGCAUAUCAAAAGUCGGGAGGA